GAUACAUCUGAUGGAGAACACAAUCACAAUCUUUCAUUGUGGCGUUCACAAGGUUAAAGAAAACCCUCUAAUCCAAAAACUGUGUUGAUUCCUGCCAUAAAGUUGGAAAUGAUGAAUGAAGAGAUAAACUUCAACGAUAUCGUCCCGUUUCAAGUUAAGAAGGCAGAAGGGCUCCCGAAGACAAAACUUCCUUUCAAUUGUGGUCUCUUUGUUGUCAAGAUGCUAGAAUGCAGGUCAUUAGGAUUGAAGAAAAUGUCCAGUAUAAAUGAUGAUACUGCGAUGGAUUUACGAAGCAAGCUAUGUUGUGAGAUGUUCGAUCAGUUUAUGGAUAAAGAUUUCCAGGAAGGUUGCAGAAGGUGAUCAUUCAGUUUCUGUUAGAUGUUUGUAUCUGUUUAAUGUCUACUUUCAUAGGAUUGUGCUCUGUUCUGAUGUGUUAGGAUGGUUUCUCUAUUGUUUAUGUAGUAUGUUCUUGUUUCUCUAUGUGAAUCUACGAUGAAAAGUUUAAAUUGUUGAUGAA